rnacentral:lncRNA from 1 species
UAGCAUAUUUCAAUCAUAUUUUCAGCCUUUCAAAUGAGGUCUUAGAGAUUUUGGGUUGGGGAUUAAUUAUCAUGACAGAGGUAUGCAUUACAACAAUGGGAUGGUACAUGAUAUUGCUUAGUGUCACAAUAAAUCUAAGUGACAAUAGACCUAUUUAAGUGUCUCAACAUACGAAUCAAAUCAAGUGAAAGCUAUUAAUCACUCUUACUUACUCUCAACUGAUCACAGCAAAUUUAAAUUUAGAGCUUGGACAAAACUUUAGUGGGUUUGUAAUCAAGUGGACCGUCCACAUGCUCUCCAGUCAUUUUCUUCAACUCCUCUUGAAACCUUUCCAUAGCGGCUUCUGGCAAACACAUUAGUACCACAGUCCCAUCUUCCCCUCUACUGUCUUUAAACCUUGUAUAGAAGCUAAUCACAGGGGACGCCCUAGCUGGGCCACCAUAGACCGGUUUUCCCCACCCAAAAUCUAUCGCGUCAAAGCCAACACGGGUAUUAUCAGACACAAUAAUGUUCCCUGUCCCCCGUAUAGAGAGGUCGUCCCUCAUCCACCAUAAGAUCCUGCCACUUGACCUAAAAUACAUCUCCAGUAUUCUGGCCCUUUCGCCUUCGUCACCUCCUCCACCGCGUAUUCCAACGGAGAAGUAGAAAUCUUCCACUUCGAAACUGAAAGCCGGAAUAGGCAAUGACAUUUCAUGUAUCCUCGAGGUCCCUGCGGUCGGGCUUUCCCGUCCGUUGGCUAUGCAAGAGAUGCGAACCGUCCUCAUUGGGUCUGCCCAAGUGGCACAAAGUGCUGCACUCCAUAACACGCGGUUAGGACGUCAAAUGUGGAGCUGUCACGGUGGGUGGUGGCGAAAUGGUUUUCGAAUGGCCUCUUAUCUCCUUGGGACCGAAAAAAAAGGGACUUAUUGGUCAUGCUGUUGCUGUUGUCAAUCCGUGGUGGUGUUUAUCACUUGCUCGUUUUCGUGAUGCUGGAAUGUGAUGGAGGAGGUGUGCCUCGCAUCUAAGAACCUCCCUUGCAACCGGUGGCACAAGAAAGGUCCUGCUGUCCCCUCGGGCAAACUCAUCAUUGUAGUUAUAAUUGGACCAACCCUGUCCAUCCCUCAUUGUGUGGUUUACACGCGUAUGGCAACGGCACCAUCCACCGCAUCUAAAACGGGUCACCUGCAUGAAAAUUAAAAACAACAUAUAUAGUUGAUGCAAACCUUACGUAUAAGAUUUACAAUAAUGCUACAGUCUAAGAAUAUCUCACACAAAAACGUUCAGAAACUAUUACCAUCCUAGUCAUACAAUGAUUGGAGUUGUGUAAAAUUUUUGUGAAGGAUAUGUUGGAAAAAGUUACAUUUGAGCUGAUUUGUACCUAAUUUUUGAGUGGGUUCUGGUUACCGAAAUUGUUGAACCACGUGUGAAACGUGUUCUUCUUUGAAUAACUAUAAUAUAUUCACUUGCUCAAAAUGAAUAAGAGGUGAACAAGAAAUUUCACCAAAGUGCUGCUAUUGAUUGACAAAUAUAGUAAAGAAUGAAAUUUUCACAUCGUUUGAUUGAAUUUUUUUUAAAGUGUUUAUAUAUGCGAAGUUAACACUUCUCAGUUGAAAUCUCAGUCAUUUAAUUAAUUCAAAUAGAUUCCAACUGUAAAUAGUGAAAAAUAAUUUUGAGAUUCAAAAUGAGUUGUGUUUUAUAUUAUAAAUUUUAUUUUUCAAAGCAACUCAAAUUCACAAUUCCUGAACUUUUUUAUAAUGGGAUAAUGUUUAACACGUCACAUUUUAAGUGAGAUUUUCUUACCGCAAACAUAAGAUGGCUGGGUCCCAUAAUAUAUAAUAGCUAAUUAAACAUAUCAAUUCUAACCAACAUUACUGAAUCAACAAAGGAGGGCAGCCAAGGAUGCCUUCAGAGCCAGGAACGUCAUGCAAAAGCUCGUCAAGUUGGUCCCCCGGAUCAAUUGUGUCACCAAUUAGUCUGGUUGAGCUCAAUAUCGUGCAUCGCCCUCGAUGAACAAAACCCCUUCGCGCGUACAAAUCCAACCAUAAGUUUUUCGUUAGGACCCUCAAUAAGCCCUUCGGGCGAUGGGUAGUAGACGCGUGGCUUCAGCGAGUGCUUCUCUGAUGACCUGACGGGGUCUUCUCCUUCCGUAAAGCUUUCUUUUGUUUAGAACAUGAUCAACCGGACCUGAACCGGAGACCUUCUUGAUUCAUCCUUGUCUGAUAGUUGCUUCAGUCUCGUGGUGUCGGCUUUAGAGGGCAAACAAGUGUCGGUUCUUUCCUCUCACCGUGAACACCAGGGAGGGUGGAAAUGAUGCCAUAGUUAAGGAAACUAUUUGAUAAAAUAUCUGAGUACAGCGAAGAGAGAGGAUGCCCAUGGUAUCAAAUUUUGGAAAGUAUUUAUAGGGGAGUUUUUUUUCAUAAAUUAUACUUUGCACCUCUGAACUUUGCACUCAAUUUUACUUUGCUCCCUUAACUUUAAACUAGCACAGUCAAACCUUUAUACUUUCGUAUUGUGAGGUGCAAGUGAGCUACUUUACGGGCUAUGUUCUUCACAUUCUCUUUACACCCGUUUAAAAAAUUUAAUAUCUUUAAUUUAUUUGUCUACGCCUUUUUAAUCCAUUAAAUUAACACAUCUUUAACCGAAUCCCCUUUUCUCAACACCCACUAUCAAUCUUCUCUCCCCUACUUGACACCAGCUUCGUAUUUGUAUCUCCUCACUAUCAUCUCUCUUCUCCCUUUCUCCAUCACUCUUUUCCCAAAGUGUAUGGAAAUGCUUCGGGAUAAUUUGUUGACAAUUAAUAUAUACCAAACCUAAUAAGAAAAUUAAACCAAACUAAAAUAUCAGUUGGCUAUUUGAAAAACUUAAACCAAAUAGGCCAAAAACAAGUAAGUAUAAUCAAAUGGAUUUUUAUAUUUUCCCUCAUUAAUUGGUCAUGGGAGUCUCGAACGGCUUAUUUCCGUUGAUUAUUAAAAGGUAAUAUAUCGGAUGGAAUGGCCAUAACGACAAUUGAAUUCAAAUUUAAUGACUUGAUAGUCUCUUUUGAAAAUGAAGAUUGUAAGGUGAGAUUCGAUAUAAAAUACAGGAAUGCAAAGUGUAAUUUACCCUUAAUUUUGCAAUAGCUUCAACCACAUGCACUUGUGAGACAAACGUGCAACUGCCUGCAAACAUGGGAUUCACGUUGCACUAACGAAAAUAAAUUAUGAAAACAGCACUUGAAGUGGCAGCUACGUCCACGUGUAUGGUUGUGACCUGAAUUUCUUUUUCAUGUGUUUACAUAUGAAUUUAUAUUUAAGCCACGUUUGGUGUAUGAUUUUAUUGAGAUUUUUUAUUUGUUUUGGUUUUCGUGCAUCUUUAGAUAACGGUUUUUACUGUUAGAAUUAAAUUUUAUACUUUUUUAAUUUCUCUUGAUAAAAAGAAUUUAAAAAUAUAUAAAAAAAAUAGUUCGCUACUUAAUGUUAAAAUUAAUAUUAUAAUUUUAUACGUACAAUACGAGCUUUAUAUUUUUAAUGCAUGGACAUUUGUCUCCUAAAAUUAAAAUUGUGUGUCCGUCUUUGUUCCCAUCUAUCAAUAAUAAUAAUAGGAUGAGGGAAAGAAAAAUAAAAUUACUUCAUCAGUGACCCUUCAACAAAAAUGUGAAAUGGAUGGUGGGUCAAGUUGGUGUCUUGUCCGAUGUUUUCAUUUGGAGCCAUAAACAACAGUGCCACUUCAAUCGGUCAAUAAAAAUGUGAAAUGCAUGGUCGGUAAAGUUUGUGGCUCAAAACUUUCCUAGCAGAGUAUCUAAAAAUCAUAGUUAUCAAAAUUGAAUCGUAUUUUGAACCGAUCAAAGUACCGGUUCAACGGUUCACCAACCCAAAUCAACUGUCCUGGACAAUUCUGUCCCAUUUCCUGUACCAGAUCUCCAUACGUAACACAUGUCCUACUUUUUUCUAAGUUACUCUUCUUUUUUACUUUGGUCCAUUAAAGUUUAAAUUUUUUUAAAUUUGAUCCUUGAACAAUUAAAUUAUUUUCAAAUUCCAUCGAAACUACUUUAUAAAUAAAUUAUUUCGUAAAUACUCUUUUUAUAAGAUAAUACUAAGAUAUAAAUUAUUCAAAAUAAUCUAAUUUUAAAUUACUUUUAAUUUUAGUAUCAUAAAAAAAUAUAUAUUGUCACUUUUUUAAUUUCUCUAUUAGAGACAAACUAUUUAGUCCAAUUUUACUCUAAUAAGCCUUAUAAUGUAGCUAGUAGAAUUUUUUUCUUUAUGAAGUUUUUAUUUUUUUAUUAACAUACAUAAUUUUUGUUCAACUUCAACCUUUUAAUUAGAAAAAUCCAUAAAUAAAAAUGGUUCUAUUUAUAACCAAAACUAAACAAAUUAUGAAUUUUAUUUUGCAUUAUUCUUUAUUUAUGGGUCUUUUUUUAACUUACUUGGAUUUCUUUGCUCAAGAAAAAUAAAUAUAUUCUAAAUUUUGAUUUAUAGUUUUUAAAAACAUUUUAAAAUUUUGUAUUGAAACCCCUAAAGUGCCCUUUCAAGAUCCAUGCUUCGGGAAAGGCACACCUAGUUUUUGACCUCCUUUAUUUUUAAAAUUAUGAUCAAGAUUUUUUCAUUGAGCUAAAUUUUUGGCAAAAAUAACAAGAUUGCCCUUAAAUUUUGGACUUCUAAUUUUUUUUCUCAAUAUAUCAAUUAAAAUGAAUAAAAAUCAUCUUUUAUCUCAAAUACCAUUUGUUUGUAAACUCUCUUAUUUAUAUUUUUUUAUCAAUAAUAAAAAAUUAAAAAAAUAACUGAUUUUGUAAGAUAGUUGAAUAAAUAAGAUUAUUUCAAGAAAAAAAGUGAGUGUCCAUUAAUUUUAAUUGGUGUGUUGAGAAAAAAAUAUAAAAUUCCUACAAAUAAGGUUAAUUAUGUCAUUUUUAUCAAAAAGAUAGCCACAUUAAUUAAUAAUAAGUAAACUUAAUGAGAUUGGUUUUUAGUCAGUCUAAGAUUUUUUUUGUGUUUUUAAAGAUUGAAAAAUAAAACUAAAAUCAAAGAAUCCGAAAUUAGGUUAAAUUCUCCCCCAAUCCAACGGCAUACAACACAGGCAAGAAGACGAUGCAACCUAAUAUGGUAGCCCCAGAUCCACAGAAGUGGACCUCAAAAAGAAUAUUCAAAAUAGAACCCAUAUAUUUUAUUCAUUUUUUGUUUUAUAACAGGACCAUUUUUAUUUAUGAAUUUCCUAAUUAAAAGUUGGAAUGAAAAAAAUUAUAUAUAUUAAUAAAAAAUUAAAACAAUUCAUAAAAAACAAAAAUUCUACUAGCUACAUUGUAAGGCUUAUUUGGAGUAAAUUGGACUAAAUAGUUUGUCUUUAAUAGACGAAUUAAAAAAAGUGAUAAUAUAUAUAUUUUUUUAUGUAUCCUAAAAUUAAAAUUAAUUUAAAAUUAAAUUAUUUUAGAAUAAUUUAUAUCUUAGUAUUAUCUUAUAAAAAGAGUAUUUAAUAAAUAAUUUAUUUAAGAAGUAGUUUCAAUGGAAUUUGAAAAUAAUUUAAUUGUUCAAGGACCAAAUUCAAAAAAAAAUCAAAUUUUAAUUGACCAAAGUGAAAAAGGAGAGCAACUUAGGAAAAAGUAGGACAUGUGUCACGCAUGGAGAUCUGAUACAUGAUAUGGGACAGGAUUGUCCGGAUAGCUAUUUGGGCUGACGGUUCACUUGGUUUUACACCGGUUCAACAAUUCAACCGUUGUAUAAUUAAUAAUCAUAAAAAUAUUUUUUUAUUAUAAAUAAUAAAAAAAAAAUUUAACACAUUCAACCUACUGUAAAUAUUUUAAAGGUGAUUAUAGAUACCAUAUUUAAAAAGUACUCAAAAUAUGACAUGAAAUAUUACUAAUUGCACCUCAUUAUUAUAAUUCAAAAUAUUAUCAUGAAAUAUUAUAAUUGCAAACCAUUAUAUAUUUUAAUAUUCUUUAUAAAAAAUUGGCCAAAUGAGUUUAAAUUAUAUAUCUACUAUCGUAAUAAUAAUAGUAAAAAAUUAAUUAUAGUAAAAAAAAUUAAAAAAUGCAAAAUUCAAAAUUUUGGUGGGCCCAAAUUAUAAAAAUUAAAACUUUAAUUUAUUUUUAUAAACCGGCCGGGCCGGUUCACACCGGUUAAAAAAUCUGCCGUUUCAACCGGUUCAAUUCUCAGUCUCUUGUAUUUUCGGUAAAUAUAUUUACUGAACCAGGUUAGUACUCGUUUUCCCCCCGGUUGAACCGUACAAUUCGAUCGUUUCUAACAACUAAUGGGCUAAAAAUUAACGUUUGUGGCUUUAGCAUCACUGGUAGUAAUCUUCUAAUCAGGCAAAGUUUGCAAAAUUUCACAUACAAGAAGAACCCUCCAAUAGUAUGUUUCCUACCGACUUAUAUAAAAUAUUAAAUAUAGGAUCAAAAUCUUCUUGGUAGUCCAAGCACUUUGGUCCAAUAAUCCAAACCGAUCGAUCUAUUAUAGACUUUAUCAAAAAUGUUAAUACAGUAAAAAAUCAACUUGAUUGGAUACAGAUCAACAGUCAAUCAAGGUAGAUAGGUAUAAUCAUUUAUAUCAUACUUAUUUAUUAAAUUAUAAAACGGUACUAAUCAGAUACUGAACUAUGUUCAAUCAACGUUUUUUUUACAGUGUCGAUCUUUACAUAGAGUAUAUAUAAUAUGGAUCAUCAAAAUGAACUCAAAAUAUGACUCAAAAUACUUAGACUAUACCUGUAUAUUGCGUUGUAUAUGCCUUUAAGCAACCAAAAAUAUAUGAAAGAUAAUUUCGUCAAUGGAUGAAAAAUAAUUGACAAUAUUUAUCAUUAGAAAUGGAGAAAACAACAAUUUAGAAGGCAAUAUCAAAGCAAUCAAUCUCAAGAUUAUGUCAGGUCCGACCCAUGUUUAUUGGGUGGCCGAAGCAAAAAAACGUUGGAACAUAGGGUCCCACUUGAGGGUUAAGUUGGAUAUAUCAGUUUUGUGAAAGCAACAAACACAGACUUAUGAGAGCGUUGACUACUGCCCACCGUCAGAGUCCGAUAUACUAGUUUCGUGGAGGAUGAGUGCGCAUUAUUAAAAAUGCCUGAGCUUUGGGGUGAUUCUUGGAGUCAAGUGGUCACUCAUUCAAGCAUUAAGCAUAAAAAUUGGUGGGUGCUGCAGACAAAAUUAUUCAAUUAUGUAACGUUAAGUUGGAGAUUCACACGUUGAUAAUGGAACGUACUUACAUUUUAGGCACUAAGUACGUUUCGUGCAUGACUAGAAGGCACACUUACCAACUUUUGUAUUUAAUGCUUGAAUGACUGACCACUUAAAAAUAUUUGAACUUGAGACUUAGGUGUUGAAACCUUACGUCUUUGCCAUCAAACCAACUCACUUGGUUAUUGCACAUUAUUUGUUCUUGGCACAUGGUUUUCGAUAUUCAUCUAAUAGAUUGGUAAGGUUUAAAUAUUUGGUGGUAUCGUUGAGCUGAUAAAUUGGUAAGGUUUAAAUAUUUGGUGGUAUCGUUGAGAUGAAAACCAAUUUAUAGUGAACAAGUUAGAGAGAGAGGAAGUUAAGGCUUAGCCAGUGGUAAGGGAAAGCCUUAUCAA